UGGGGAAUAUUGCACAAUGGGCGCAAGCCUGAUGCAGCCAUGCCGCGUGUGUGAAGAAGGCCUUCGGGUUGUAAAGCACUUUCAGCGAGGAGGAAGGUGGUGAACUUAAUACGUUCAUCAAUUGACGUUACUCGCAGAAGAAGCACCGGCUAACUCCGUGCCAGCAGCCGCGGUAAUACAGAGGGUGCAAGCGUUAAUCGGAAUUACUGGGCGUAAAGCGCACGCAGGCGGUUUGUUAAGUCAGAUGUGAAAUCCCCGGGCUCAACCUGGGAACUGCAUUUGAAACUGGCAAGCUAGAGUCUCGUAGAGGGGGGUAGAAUUCCAGGUGUAGCGGUGAAAUGCGUAGAGAUCUGGAGGAAUACCGGUGGCGAAGGCGGCCCCCCUGGACGAAGACUGACGCUCAGGUGCGAAAGCGUGGGGAGCAAACAGGAUUAGAUACCCUGGUAGUCCACGCUGUAAACGAUGUCGAUUUGGAGGUUGUGCCCUUGAGGCGUGGCUUCCGGAGCUAACGCGUUAAAUCGACCGCCUGGGGAGUACGGCCGCAAGGUU
rnacentral:rRNA from 1 species